UGCAGUCGAGGGGUAACAGAGAAAAGCUUGCUUUUUUGCUGACGACCGGCGCACGGGUGCGUAACGCGUAUGCAAUCUACCUUUUGCUAAGGGAUAGCCCAGAGAAAUUUGGAUUAAUACCUUAUAGUAUGAUGACUUGGCAUCAAGAUAUCAUUAAAGAUUACGGCAAAAGAUGAGCAUGCGUUCUAUUAGCUAGUUGGUGUGGUAACGGCAUACCAAGGCAACGAUAGAUAGGGGUCCUGAGAGGGAGAUCCCCCACACUGGUACUGAGACACGGACCAGACUCCUACGGGAGGCAGCAGUGAGGAAUAUUGGACAAUGGAGGCAACUCUGAUCCAGCCAUGCCGCGUGCAGGAAGACUGCCCUAUGGGUUGUAAACUGCUUUUAUACAGGAAGAAACACCUCUACGUGUAGAGAUUUGACGGUACUGUAAGAAUAAGGAUCGGCUAACUCCGUGCCAGCAGCCGCGGUAAU
rnacentral:rRNA from 1 species